CCUACGGGAGGCAGCAGUGGGGAAUAUUGGGCAAUGGGCGCAAGCCUGACCCAGCAACGCCGCGUGAAGGAAGAAGGCUUUCGGGUUGUAAACUUCUUUUCUCAGGGACGAAGCAAGUGACGGUACCUGAGGAAUAAGCAACGGCUAACUACGUGCCAGCAGCCGCGGUAAUACGUAGGUGGCAAGCGUUAACCGGAUUUACUGGGUGUAAAGGGCGUGUAGGCGGGAUAGCAAGUCAGAUGUGGAAACCAUGGGCUCAACCUGUGACCUGCAUUUGAAACUGUUUUUCUUGAGUACUGGAGAGGCAGACAGAAUUCCUGGUGUAGCGGUGAAAUGCGUAGAGAUUAGGAGGAACACCAGUGGCGAAGGCGGUCUGCUGGACAGCAACUGACGCUGAGGCGCGAAAGCGUGGGGAGCAAACAGGAUUAGAUACCCUUGUAGUC
rnacentral:rRNA from 1 species